UCUCUUUCUUCAGAUGAUGAUCCCAAGCCUUCUGGCAAUCCGCGAUAAGUUCUUUGUAGAACUUUAAGAAAAGCAUUUUCCAUUAAAAGAAUGCUUUCAUGUGAUAAUGCCGGGGAAGGUUUUCCGGUUUAUCCCGGAGGGCUUGUAGCUCAGUUGGUUAGAGCGCGCGCUUGAUAAGCGUGAGGUCGG
rnacentral:misc_RNA from 1 species